rnacentral:rRNA from 1 species
UACAGAGGGUGCAAGCGUUGUUCGGAAUUACUGGGCGUAAAGCGCGUGUAGGCGGUUUGGUUAGUCACUUGUGAAAUCCCUCGGCUCAACUGAGGAACUGCGAGUGAUACUGCCAAGCUAGAGUAUCGGAGGGGAUGGUGGAAUUUCCAGUGUAGGGGUGAAAUCCGUAGAUAUUGGAAGGAACACCUGUGGCGAAGGCGACCAUCUGGACGAUUACUGACGCUGAGACGCGAAAGCGUGGGGAGCAAACAGG